rnacentral:tRNA from 1 species
UAUUAGAAAGCGAAUAAUGGCGUUUAGUUUCGACCUAAAUUUUGAAGAAUUGACUUCUCUAAUAU